GUUGGCCUUCAGGGAUCAAGGCAUGUUCAAGGCGGUCACCUCAAAUUUCAGCAGAGACCAGCUAGAAGGAUGCUGUGGCAAAGCAUGGCAUUUUACAUGAGGGGCAGUGUCAGCUUUCUUCCACAUGCCAGGCUCUCCUAACAGAAUCACAUCUCUGGAGCAUUGAUCUUCUCCCUGGAUGUUUGAUGAUAUGUUUAACAGAAAUAUGGUACCCAUUCUCAUCCAAGUAUUUAUCACAGAGCCUUACAGAACCCAAGCCCGGAUCCCUCAGCAAGGUGCACCAAUUAAUAGGGCAUGGGAUUUCCUGCAAAUGCCUGACACUGCUAAAACAGCAUCAAGAUGGCAAUUAAAGAGAGAGAAACAGCACCUAUAGCUGGAACAUUGCAACUGCCACUCCUCCAGAUUGGUGUUGAUGGACUACAGAUUAUUACAGUGGAAAUGACUGCCGUGUGCAUUGAGGAAACCUGUAGUUAUUUGAGAUAAAACAUGAGAGAUUGCAUGAAGAAGAACUGAGGGGUUGAAAAUAAAGAGGGCAGUAAUGGCAAUUCCAAUUUUUGGUGCCCUGUUGAUUUCUCCACUGUUUCUUCCUUUCUUCUAAAGAGAGUGCAGAGAAGAGCUAAAGACAGUGAAGGGAAAAUCUCUUCACCUAGACCUCCCCUUGGGCUGCCCCACCCAACCAACAUGGAGCAGAACACGCAGAGGAAAAUCUGACUGCUCUUCUCAGAGUUUUGCAUCUGGCAGUUAUCUCAGAUAUUUGUCAAUGAUUGCUGUUGA